AGUGAACGCUGGCGGCAUGCCUAAUACAUGCAAGUCGAACGGACAGAUGAUAAGCUUGUUCCUCUAACGUUGGCGACGGGCGGAUGGGUAACGCAUAGAUAGCAUUCUUCUUAUACUGGGGGAACUUCGGAAGGCAGGAUCUGCUAACAGCUAAUAUGUUCAACCGCAUGAAUCAAUGGUUCUUCGCGGCUUUCGUGACACUUAUAGCUGGUUCCGCGCCGCAUUAGCUAGUUGGUAAGGUAACGGCCUACCAAGGCAACGAUGCGUAGCCGACCUGAGAGGAUGAUCGGCCACACUGGAACUGAGACACGGUCCAGACUCCUACGGGAGGCAGCAGUAGGGAAUAUUGGGCAAUGGGCGAAAGCCUGAUGGAGCCAUGCCGCGUGAGUGAUGAAGGCCUUCGGAUUGUAAAACCCUGUUAUUAGGGAAGAAAAAAUGUGGAAGUAACUACGGACGUCUUGACGGUACCUAAUCAGAAAGCCACGGCUAACUACGUG
rnacentral:rRNA from 1 species